rfam:Oryza barthii chromosome 5, whole genome shotgun sequence.
CCUCCAUGACGCCAUUAACUUCUUGUCCAACGUUUGACCAUUCGUCUUAUUUAAAAAAUUUAUAUAAUUAUUAUUUAUUUUAUUGUGACUUGAUUCAUCAUCAAAUGUUCUUUAAGUAUGACAAAAAUAUUUUCAUAUUUGCACAAAAUUUUUAAAUAAAACGAAUGGUCAAAUGUUGGUCGAAAGGUCAACGGUGUCAUACAU